CCUACGGGAGGCAGCAGUGAGGAAUAUUGGACAAUGGGCGCAAGCCUGAUCCAGCCAUGCCGCGUGCAGGAAGAAGCAUCUAUGGUGUGUAAACUGCUUUUGUACAGGAAGAAACACUCCCUCGUGAGGGAGCUUGACGGUACUGUAAGAAUAAGGACCGGCUAACUCCGUGCCAGCAGCCGCGGUAAUACGGAGGGUCCGAGCGUUAUCCGGAAUCAUUGGGUUUAAAGGGUCCGUAGGCGGUUUAAUAAGUCAGUGGUGAAAUCUGGUCGCUCAACGAUCAAACGGCCAUUGAUACUGUUAGACUUGAAUUAUAAGGAAGUAACUAGAAUAUGUAGUGUAGCGGUGAAAUGCUUAGAUAUUACAUGGAAUACCAAUUGCGAAGGCAGGUUACUACUUAUGGAUUGACGCUGAUGGACGAAAGCGUGGGGAGCGAACAGGAUUAGAUACCCUGGUAGCCCACGCCGUAAACGAUGGAUACUAGCUGUUCGGAGCAAUCUGAGUGNGUAGAGAAGUAGAUAGUAUACCACCGUGGAGGUACGUUCGCGAAGAAGAGAACGUAAAGUAAAGUUAGUACGGACGUGAGAGUAGCGACGGACGACGACGAGGGAGGAGG
rnacentral:rRNA from 1 species